YAUGAACUCAGGUCUUUCUUGCUGGCCUCUUGUGCAUCAAUAUUCCUGACUUUGCCAGCCCCUUUCCAUCAUGGGUGGUGGCGUUUGACCCUCUUCCGGGCUUGUGCAGAGCAUCAGAGCCAUGCGGUUGUGGCCUCAUAGGGCUUUCUGGCUGGCAAUGUCUUAUAUUUAGGAAUAGUUGUUUUUGUGGGGGGUUUUCCUUUGUGUCUGUGUCUGAUAUUUGUGUGUGUCUGUCUGUUUGGGGCUGGAGCUGCCUUGGCUGCGGGUGUUAGCUAUGGUAGUGUGCAGAGGAGAGUAGUGAUGGAAUGGUGAUUAGUCAGCAUCUGUGUGCUCCACUUUGUUGUGUGUGUUUUGAUUUUUUUUUUUUUUGUAGAUGUGGCGCAGCAGUUGGAGUGCCUGAGGGAGAUGGAGGAAGAAAGGGUCAUGCCCUAGGAAGGUGUGGAGCAACGUGGAGAGUGGGUCGCUUGCAUGCAGGAGGAGCACGGCAAGGUGAGUGUCGGUCUGAGAGCGGUAGCAGAGCCUAGCAUAGGGCUGUUGUCUCAUUGUUGCUGUCCGUGUUGCCCACUGCUGUUCUGGUUUUACAGGUGCAUGACAGG
ensembl:lncRNA